rnacentral:rRNA from 1 species
AGUGGCGGACGGGUUAGUAACGCGUGAGAAUCUGCCUUGGGGUCGGGGACAACCACUGGAAACGGUGGCUAAUACCGGAUAAGCCGAUUGGUGAAAGAUUUAUUGCCCGAAGAGGAGCUCGCGUCUGAUUAGCUAGUUGGUGAGGUAAGAGCUCACCAAGGCAGCGAUCAGUAGCUGGUCUGAGAGGACGAUCAGCCACACUGGAACUGAGACACGGCCCAGACUCCUACGGGAGGCAGCAGUGGGGAAUUUUCCGCAAUGGGCGAAAGCCUGACGGAGCAAGACCGCGUGAGGGAGGAAGGCUCUUGGGUUGUAAACCUCUUUUCUCAGGGAAGAAGCUCUGACGGUACCUGAGGAAUCAGCCUCGGCUAACUCCGUGCCAGCAGCCGCGGUAAUACGGAGGAGGCAAGCGUUAUCCGGAAUUAUUGGGCGUAAAGCGUCCGCAGGUGGCGAUUCAAGUCUGCUGUCAAAGCACGGGGCUUAACUCCGUAAAGGCAGUGGAAACUGAAUAGCUAGAGUGCCGUAGGGGUAGAGGGAAUUCCCGGUGUAGCGGUGAAAUGCGUAGAGAUCGGGAAGAACAUCGGUGGCGAAAGCGCUCUACUGGACGGCAACUGACACUCAGGGACGAAAGCUAGGGGAGCGAAUGGGAUUAGAUACCCC